GGCCGCCUGGCGAAAUGGCAUCGCGUCUGACUACGAUGAUUAAAGGUAAUCAGGAGAUUGCAGGUUCGACCCCUGCGGUGGUCA
rnacentral:tRNA from 2 species